rnacentral:tmRNA from 1 species
GGGGGCGACAGGCCUCGACGGGGGUUAUGAGGUCUACGCUGCAUGCCGUGGCUCUGUCACCACGUAAAAAGGCAGAACAAAAACACAAAAGCCAAUCACGAACUGGCACUUGCUGCUUAAUUAAGCGGCACGCUUCCCUGAGACUGUCUGCGGCUCAGAAGAGGCGUCAGAAAGCGGGCUUGUCUGAAGGUAUCCUCCCUUGACCUUUGGAUGAAACUUAAGAGGGGGCCGGAAUCAGUAAAGCCUGCCUGCCGGCAGACCUGAUUCUUAAACUUAAAUAAGCAGGAUACGCAUGUAGACGCUUAGAUGUAGUGCUUCCGGACCCGGGUUCAAAUCCCGGCGCCUCCACCA